rnacentral:tRNA from 1 species
GGGGCCGUAGCUCAGUUGGGAGAGCGCUACAAUGGCAUUGUAGAGGUCAUCGGUUCGAUCCCGUUCGGCUCCACCA